UCGGCUGCUGGCCGGGCGGUGUGCUGCCGCGUUUCCGGGGCGCGGGCGGCGACGGUUUGUUCCAGCCGGGCCAGCGUGGC
rnacentral:tRNA from 1 species